GGUUAAGUGACUAAGCGUACAUGGUGGAUGCCUUGGCAGUCAGAGGCGAUGAAGGACGUACUAACCUGCGAUAAGCUGUGAGAAGUCGGUAAGAGACGCUAUUACUCACAGAUUUCCGAAUGGGGAAACCCACUUAGCAUAAGCUAGGUAUCGUUGCAUGAAUACAUAGUGCAACGAGGCGAACCGGGAGAACUGAAACAUCUAAGUACCCCGAGGAAAAGAAAUCAACCGAGAUUCCCUCAGUAGCGGCGAGCGAACGGGGAUUAGCCCUUAAGUUUCUUGGAAGUUAGUGGAAUGGUCCUGGAAAGGCCAGCGAUACAGGGUGAUAGCCCCGUACAUGAAAACGACCUUGAAGUGAAAUCGAGUAGGGCGGGACACGUGACAUCCUGUCUGAAUAUGGGGGGACCAUCCUCCAAGGCUAAAUACUCCUGACUGACCGAUAGUGAACCAGUACCGUGAGGGAAAGGCGAAAAGAACCCCUGUGAGGGGAGUGAAAUAGAACCUGAAACCGUGUACGUACAAGCAGUGGGAGCCCUUCGGGGUGACUGCGUACCUUUUGUAUAAUGGGUCAGCGACUUACAUUUUGUAGCGAGGUUAACCGUAUAGGGGAGCCGUAGGGAAACCGAGUCUUAACUGGGCGUCUAGUUGCAAGGUGUAGACCCGAAACCGGGUGAUCUAGCCAUGGGCAGGUUGAAGGUUGAGUAACAUCAACUGGAGGACCGAACCCACUAACGUUGCAAAGUUAGGGGAUGACCUGUGGCUGGGGGUGAAAGGCCAAUCAAACUCGGAGAUAGCUGGUUCUCCCCGAAAGCUAUUUAGGUAGCGCCUCGGACGAAUACUACUGGGGGUAGAGCACUGUUUGGACUAGGGGGUCAUCCCGACUUACCAACUCCAUGCAAACUCCGAAUACCAGUAAGUAAUAUCCGGGAGACACACGGCGGGUGCUAACGUCCGUCGUGAAGAGGGAAACAACCCAGACCGCCGGCUAAGGUCCCAAAGUUCUGGUUAAGUGGGAAACGAUGUGGGAAGGCUCAGACAGCUAGGAUGUUGGCUUAGAAGCAGCCAUCAUUUAAAGAAAGCGUAAUAGCUCACUAGUCGAGUCGGCCUGCGCGGAAGAUGUAACGGGGCUCAAACCAGGCACCGAAGCCGCGGAUUCACACUUAUGUGUGAGUGGUAGGGGAGCGUUCUGUAAGUCUGCGAAGGUGU
rnacentral:rRNA from 1 species